GUAGGUGGCAAGCGUUGUCCGGAAUUAUUGGGCGUAAAGCGCGCGCAGGCGGUUCUUUAAGUCUGAUGUGAAAGCCCACGGCUCAACCGUGGAGGGUCAUUGGAAACUGGAGAACUUGAGUACAGAAGAGGAAAGCGGAAUUCCACGCGUAGCGGUGAAAUGCGUAGAGAUGUGGAGGAGCACCAGUGGCGAAGGCGGCUUUCUGGUCUGUAACUGACGCUGAGGCGCGAAAGCGUGGGGGAGCAAACAGGAUUAGAUACCCUGGUAGUCCACGCCGUAAACGAUGAGUGCUAAGUGUUAGGGGGUUUCCGCCCCUUAGUGCUGCAGCUAACGCAUUAAGCACUCCGCCCUGGGAGUACGGCCGCAAGGCUG
rnacentral:rRNA from 1 species